rfam:Canis lupus familiaris chromosome 4, whole genome shotgun sequence.
CGGGGGAGGCCGGAUCCUGGGCUGUGUCCCGGCGCCCUGUGCCCUGGUCUGCGCUGUUGGAUUUGAGCUCCGGCCCCGCAGCCCCCU